AAGAUGCUAGGGGCAAACAGGAUUUAGAAAGAUAAGAAAUAAACUAAGGAAUGUAGUAUGAGUUACAACGUAAUCACAAGUUAAGUAUAGGACACAUAAGAGAAAGUAGAUAAUAGAUAGUAAAGUCGAUUCUGAGAGAAUCGUUGAAGCAGGAGCUCUGUUUAUAGGGAAACAAUGAUUUCAGGAGACAGUAAAUCUGGGUGGGGGGAACUAAAAACGUCAAACCUCUGACUUAAUGCUUUUGUCAAAGUAUAAAAGAAAACCUGAAGUGUGAAAUUCCGUACUAUGAGUCAGAGGCUACAUCAUCGUCCGCCGACACUGCUCAUCCCUUCAGGCUGAUUCCCUGGCUGUUGGAGCUGGACUCCAGCACCAGUUGCCUGAGAAAACCAAAACAAACCAGGAAGAGUCUUAUGACUUUUCCUUGGAACAAAGCUCUCACGUAAUAUCUUCAAUUUUAUCCUGACAAAUUCUAUUCUAUUCUAUUAAGAAUUGAGGAGGUGGAUGGACACAAAUGGCCGCUGCAGGUAACAAAGCUCCAAUUCCUCGCAGAGUUCAGUGAAAAGAAGGAAGUCUACACAGGGUUGCUUCAUUGGUUGCCAUAAUGGUCAAAUAAAUAAAGAUGCACAAGGUGAA